GAGCAAACCUACCUCAAAUAUUAUAAGACAUAAAUUUUCCCCUCAUUAAUAUUUAGUAGAAAUGAGCAGUCAAAAUAUUUUUUCAUGAAGAAGGAUGGAAAUAU
rnacentral:sRNA from 1 species